CGCGUCUGUCCCGCGGAAUGCGAGGAGCGCGGGGGACGGGGGGCGCUUAAUCGUGGAAGGAAGCGAGGCGGGAGAGGCGCUGAGCCGCAGUCACCGCCAUCUCACCGGUGCCUGAGUGUUUCGAUACGUGUCAGUUCAGUGAGUGGGAAAACGCCGGUCUUGGUCAGCGUCUUCAUCAAUGACCUGGAAUAAGGGGUGUUUGGGCACGUGCUCUGAGAAAUCUCUCUUUGGGACAACCGCAGAAGAGAAAUGGCAAAGGCUUCAGAAAUAACGACCAGGGACUGGCGCUGGCCCCGUGUGGUGCCUCCACAGGGAAAAUUAGUGGCAAGCCAGCAUCUCGGCCAGCACUCGCCAGCCUUCUCUUUACAUGCCUGUACCCUUCAUCCAGACAGACAUCCUGAAAGCGUCUUCAGGAUAUCUUUUCAGUGGAGCUCUGUGAAUUCAGACUGCUCUUCCAAGCAGGCUUUCAGAGCGCAUCUCCACCUCCAGAAAAAGCCACCUUGAAUCUCUUGACUCUUCCUUUGUCAGAUCACUUUGGAUUUCCCAGUUCACAGAAGAGACACACACACGUUCCAGUCAGAAACACAACCUCAGCUCGAUAACCUACUCCAGCACACUGCAAACACUCU
ensembl:lncRNA